UACGUAGGGUGCGAGCGUUGUCCGGAUUUAUUGGGCGUAAAGGGCUCGUAGGCGGCGUGUCGCGUCGGGAGUGAAAGCCCGUUGCUUAACGGCGGGUUGGCUUUCGGUACGGGCAUGCUGGAGUGCGGCAGGGGAGACUGGAAUUCCCGGUGUAGCGGUGAAAUGCGCAGAUAUCGGGAAGAACACCCGUGGCGAAGGCGGCUCUCUGGGACGGUACUGACGCUGAGACGCGAAAGCGUGGGGAGCGAACAGG
rnacentral:rRNA from 1 species